ACCCAGCUGACGAGUCCCAAGUAGGACGAAACGCGCGUCCUGGAC
rnacentral:hammerhead_ribozyme from 1 species